rnacentral:lncRNA from 1 species
GAAGGGCCGUAUCAAAUCGCCCGGGUGCAACGACCAGGGGCGUAUAAAUUAAAGUCCCUAGAGGGGACCCUGAUCCCGCGAAGCUGGAACUCCGAGAAUCUACGAAUGUACUACCAGUAAAACCCCUAGGGGUUCAAGACAAUCAGGACAAUGGACUCAGUUCCUUUUCUGCAAAUAAUUCUCUUAUCUUGAUGACUGUAAUUCUCUUCUAAUGUUGGGCCGUCUGUGAUCCUCAGAUUCCCCGGCCAAAAUCGGGAUGCCUCGAGAAUCGACCGUAGAGAACCAGACUCCCUCGACCUCGGAAAGCGUCGCAGGUUGGUAGAGCGUGCCCAGACCCACCGACCUGACGAACGAUCCCUCGACUAAGGUCGGGAUGCCCCGAGGGUCGACCGUAGAGUCUCAAACUCCCUCGACCUCGGGAUGAAGCCGUGAGGGGUGGAAAGGGUGGUUCCACCCGGGGCGCCACAAAGUGGACCCCCGGGAGCGGUCGACGAUCCCCGAUCCCCUGACGAACGAUUCCUCGACUAAGGUCGGGAUGCCCCGAGUGUCGAC